rnacentral:rRNA from 1 species
AGUGAACGCUGGCGGCAGGCUUAACACAUGCGAGUCGAGCGGGCACACUCGGGUGUCAGCGGCGGACGGGUGAGUAACGCGUGGGAACGUACCCUCUGGUUCGGAAUAACUCAGGGAAAGUUGAGCUCAUACCGGAUACGCCCUUAUGGGGAAAGGCUUGCUGCCGGAGGAUCCGCACGCGUCUGAUUCGCUAGUUGGUGAGGUAAGGGCUCACCAAGGUGACGAUCAGUAGCUGGUCUGAGAGGAUGAUCAGCCACACCGGGACUGAGACGCGGCCCAGACUCCUACGGGAGGCAGCAGUGGGGAAUAUUGCAAAAUGGGCGCAAGGCUGAUCCAGCCAUGCCGCGUGAGUGAUGAAGGCCUGAGGGUUGUAAAGCUCUUUUAUCCGGGACGAUAAUGACGGUACCGGAGGAAUAAGCCCCGGCUAACUUCGUG